UUACCUUAGCUUUCUUGGGAACAGGAACAAUGGUGGCCCUCUUGAAGCAUGUGGGAACAGCAGACUGGGAUGGGGAUUGAUUGAAUAUGUCCGUAAACACUUGUUCAAUGACAAAGUUGAAUCUAAUCUAAAUUUGUAAAACAUGGUAUAUAUUGUUGUAAUCAAUGACUGUGAGGACAUUGGGAGGAAACUUCUUCAAAGGGAAUCUUUCUGGAUCCACAGGGUCAACACACUGUCUCCUCUUGGCCUUAACGAGGAGUUUGACUUGAAAUAGUUUUUAUAGUUUCAAAAUUAUUUUAUAUUUUAAAAUCCUAAUUGAAUAUUGUAUGUGUAUGUAUAUUACUGUAAAUAUUAAUCAAAUUUAUUGUGUAUGAUCAUAUAUUGUGAUACAUUGAAUGUUAAUAUUGUGUACCUAUGUUAUACAUUUUUACUUUCUGUUUCAGGAAGUACUGCCCCUAUAUAUACUAUAUAUGUCACUGAGGACUGCCCCUAUAUAUAGAACCUUCCACCCCCACCUGGGAUAUGGAUGCCUGAUAAAGACAUAAGGGUCAAAGCGUUGUUAUAAAUAUCACCUGGGAGCAUGAGCAGCAGUGUGUUGAGUUUUCCUUUCUGUUUUCCUUUUGCAUAUGGUUGUAACCCACUAUUAUUUUGGGCUGAGUCCUUCAAUGAUUUCCGUUGGGAAUCGUUUAUGCCUAUUGCCACUAGCCCUCCCCUUAACAACACUCGAAGAAGACAUCUGUGACAACCCUAAUCAUUUCUCCUCCUGUCUCCUCUUUCUUUGUUCUGUUAGACAGGUAUGUGGUGUACACAAGCAUAAUAUCUAUAGAACAUCUUAGAGUAAAUGGUUGUCUGAGUGAUACUUAGCUUUUAUUAUUGAAAUUGUAAAGUUUAAAUGUGUAAAUUGAUUGAGUGAAACCGUUAGCGAUCUUGACAUAGAGAUGACUGUGCUAAGCUAGGCUAGCCCAUCGAAUAACACAAUAAGAAAUGUCGGCAGCUAAUAUUCUGGUUUUAACUUAUUGAUUCAUAGGUGAGGUAAUAUUGUGGUUUCUUUUCUACUCCGUUUAUAUUUUCUAGGCGCUGACAUCUCCCCAUUUGUUUAGAAAAACUGUAUACGCUAACGCUCAGCUAACUGCUCUAAUGCUAGCCUGUCAAGCCUAUAGGGUUGCUAUGAGCUUAGCAGCUACCGUUACCUGGCUCAGUAUAGAGAUGAUUGCACUGGUUUAUGGUUAAUUUAGCUAUAAAGGUUCAAAUAGGCUUCCUUAUGUGUGUAUUUAUUUAUAUUGAAACAGUACAUGAUUGUUAACUUUUAUAUCAUCUGAGGUUAAGAUAAAUACUGAGAAGGUAUAUUUUUAAAUGCAAGUCAAGGUAUUAGCUAGCGGAAUUGUUUUAAAUACAGAGAAUGUACUAUGUUACUGUACUUACAGUACUUUCUAGUCUUUUACAGCAUCUGAAUGAAUUAUUCAUGUUUUGCAGAUCGAAAUUCACCCAGGCUCAAACAUUACAGUGGGCGACCAUGCAAACAGGCCAACUGCGAUGGCAAGAGAGCUGUGGUUUUGAUGUUGACAUGUUGCUGAAUAACAACCUGAAAUGUGGCAAAACUAAAAGGGGAGAAAAAAACCGAUCCUGAAAAAAAUGCUGGCAAGAGUGCUUUCCGGGUGUAACAAAGAGACAAGUGGGAACGGCUUGCAACAGUAAAAUGGCUGAAUUAAGAAGUGAUGAGAGAAAAGCAUUUAAUGAAUAGGAUGAAAUUAAGUUUUUAUUGUUUUGUGUUUGUUCUAAUGUUUUAUUACCAUGGCUACAAGUACUAUGACUACAAGUAUCACUGAAAUAAUGCAGGUAUUGUGACAUAAGGGACAUAUACAGUGUCUUCAGAAAGUAUUCACACCCCUUGACUUUUUCCACAUUUUAUUGUGUUACAAAGUGGGAUUAAAAUGGAUUUAAUUGUCAUUUUUUUGUCAACG